GCACGCUAACAAAAAACAAUCGUAUUUAAGAUUAAAGUACUUUGAAGCCAGUACUGAUCACAAUUAAGAAAAAUUUGAAUCCACCACAUACAAAAUCCUAAUUUUCAAAAUUCAAAUAGCCCAUUAAUGCAAUUUUCUGGGAAGAACAUGGAAAGAUGUCAGUUCUGCAUCUUUUAGGCGUCGGUCACCGGAAACUCAAACACAACAUCUUUACCUGAAAGCUUCCUGUAAACUGCAGCAAAAGUGUCUAAUUUGUACUCGGUGUUGUUUCGCUCCUUUGGGUCCAAGUAAACCUGAGAUUAACAUGAACAGAAGUAAUUAUGACAUGUAUCUUUUACUAAUAUUCAUCACCAUAAUGGGAAGUAAAUGGUUUCCACCAAAGUCAUUCUUUGACACAAAUAAUCAACCAAAUAAAUUCACAAUCUAAAAAUGCAUUAUACAUCAACCUACAAAUAGUUGAGGAUAUGCAUCCAAAAUUAUGCUUAGAAAAUGUUCAUUUAUAGAAUUACCCUCAUUAUCUUAGACCCAUCAACUCGAUAUCUGGUGCGCUUCCCAACAAUUUCAGCAGGCAGUACAAUAUCCUCCAACAUUGCCUCAUGCACAGCAGUAAGCGUGCGGCUGCGAGGCCUUUGAGCAGCUGAACCUUUCUUUGGAGGCCUUAAUAUCCUCCUAGUAGCAAUCAGGAUUACAUCCUAAGAGACAAUUACAAGGAAAGAUAAACGCAAGACAAUUUACAACAUAAAAUUCAAUAUAAACUAAAGCCUGGUACUUCUGACUAACUUGAGAACGAUAGGAAGAUUCCUUUAUAAAAUAAUCAUGUCAUAUUGGCACCAUAGGCAAAACAGCAGAAAAGAAAUUAAAAGGAGACCGGAAGUACAAAUAUAAAGACUUGCAGCCAUAGCAACAACAAUAUCAAAUAGGACCUUAAACAAACAAUAAUGGAACAUCUAAAAUGAUGAGCGACCAAACCUAAAAAGGAAUGAUUUAUUUCCAAUCAUAGCUCUUAGUAUAAAACAAACUUGGUUUAAUAAAGAAACAAACAAAUAUGAUAUCCCAGUUUAUAAAAAAACUGCCCAAUACAUUGUUGGUUUAUUUUGUUUCUUUAGGAUGGUAACAAAAUUAAAAGAGACCCCAACAACACAAGUUUUAGAUUACCUUCCCACUGAACUUCUUCUCAAGUUCUCUCACAAGCCUAACAUGAAUCUUUCUGUAAGCUUUCCUCAAUCUGAAAGGAACAUGGAUAACAACAGCCUUACGGUUCCCAGCAACAUCGAUUUGGAUUGCUGAAUUGAUGUAGAGAUCCUUCAUGUCACUUUUCAGCUCCUGGUUGGUAUUUUCCAGAUCAAAGAAAGCCUGUGCCACUGACUCUUCAAAUUCAGUGGGUUCAGCAUCCUUAUCCUUGUGAAUCUUCUGCUUUGUAGUAUACAUUUUUACAACACUGGAACAUAUGGAACAUAACAACUCAGAAAAGAAACAAAAUAAACCAACAAGAGUGCAUUUGCAGCUAUGAAUACAACACUGAAACAGAUCAUUUGACAUUGCAUUUGAACAAAUAAAUAAAACCCAGUGAGAGAAAAAGAUGAGUAACAAAUCAAAUCUAAAAUUUAAAAAAUAAAAAAUCCCAAUAUCCAAAACCAUCCAUCUCAAAGUUACACUAGAAUCCAGUCAAGAGCCCCUUAACAUACCCAGAAAGAGAACAUGAGAAUGGAAAAUGUUGAGGUCUGGUCCUCUGAAUAUAUAAUGACCAGAGAAACUUAAAACUAUCAAAAUAUAAAAUGUCUACAUAAAAAGAAACAGAUUAAUUGCCAAAACACAGCUCCUGAAAAAACCAAGACAAUUAUCACAUUCCACAACAAAAAGGAAAAUAACAGUCAAUAAAUUAUUCCACAUCUCCGAAAAAAAAUUAUAUCUAGCUAUUAGGGUAACACAUAUUUAGGUAAAUACAAUAGACAUCAAAUUCACAAUCAUUAGGCAUCAAACUAAUUAAGCAAGGAAUUAAAUUUCAACCGGUAUUGGGUUUCUAGGGUCCUACCGUAGGACAAACACUACUGGGUUGCUCAAAUCCUAUGAGUCAGAGGUUACAAAGAAGAAGGCUAUCAAACUGGGUUUUCUAUCUUCUUGCGAAUUCAUGAAUCAGUAUCAUGGACAUCUAGUGGAAUAACUUGUGCUGCUUUUUGAUUCCACAAAUAAAAAAAAAAUUUACUAUAUGUUCCAGUAAACCAGGUAUAUGUUUCGGGCAUAGGAGAAACACAAGAGAACCAGAUCCAAGUAAAGACCCUAGAUGUCGAACCUGACGAAUGAAAAUGCAGAUAUAUGCACCUAAGAUCUUGAAGAAGCAGUAGGCAUUGUGUUGCCUUCCAAAUCAGAAUUCUCCAAACAAAAUGCCCAUACAUGAACAGGAAAUAGAACAAGAGAAAAACGGAAAACAAGUCUAAGAUUAAGCUGUUGCCUUAAACCCUAAACCCAGAAGAAUUUACCUGAGCUCGGAAAAGCGCAGAGCAGAAACGAGCAGAGAAAGAUGCUGUAGUUGAAGGAGGAAGAGGGCUGCGGCUAGAGCAAAAUGAACAGAGGCUGUAUGAUUUAUAAGCCU
rnacentral:misc_RNA from 1 species